AGAGUGAACGCUGGCGGUAGGCCUAACACAUGCAAGUCGAACGGCAGCACGGUAAGAGCUUGCUCUUAUGGGUGGCGAGUGGCGGACGGGUGAGGAAUACAUCGGAAUCUACCUUUUGGUGGGGGAUAACGUAGGGAAACUUACGCUAAUACCGCAUACGCCCUUCGGGGGAAAGCCGGGGACCAGCAAUGGCCUGGCGCUGAUAGAUGAGCCGAUGUCGGAUUAGCUAGUUGGUGAGGUAAUGGCUCACCAAGGCGACGAUCCGUAGCUGGUCUGAGAGGAUGAUCAGCCACACUGGAACUGAGACACGGUCCAGACUCCUACGGGAGCAGCAGUGGGGAAUAGUUGGACAAGUGGGCGCGAAGCCUAGACU
rnacentral:rRNA from 1 species